UACGUAGGGUGCGAGCGUUGUCCGGAAUUAUUGGGCGUAAAGAGCUCGUAGGCGGUGUGUCACGUCGGCCGUGAAAACCUGCAGCUUAACUGUGGGCGUGCGGUCGAUACGGGCAUCACUGGAGUUCGGCAGGGGAGACUGGAAUUCCUGGUGUAGCGGUGAAAUGCGCAGAGAUCGGGAGGAACACCCGUAGCGAAGGCGGCGCUCUGGGCCGGUACUGACGCUGAGGAGCGAAAGCGUGGGGAGCAAACAGG
rnacentral:rRNA from 1 species